rnacentral:rRNA from 1 species
AUUGAACGCUGGCGGCAGGCUUAACACAUGCAAGUCGAGCGAGCGGCGGACGGGUGAGUAAUGUCUGGGAAACUGCCUGAUGGAGGGGGAUAACUACUGGAAACGGUAGCUAAUACCGCAUACCAUCAGAUGUGCCCAGAUGGGAUUAGCUAGUAGGUGGGGUAAUGGCUCACCUAGGCGACGAUCCCUAGCUGGUCUGAGAGGAUGACCAGCAACACGGGAACUGAGACACGGGCCAGACUCCAACGGGGGGCAGAAGUGGGAAAUAGUGCACAAUGGGGGAAAGCCGGAUGCAGCCAUGCCGGGUGUGUGAAGAAGGCCUUCGGGUUGAAAAGCACUUUCAGCGAGGAGGCGUUACUCGCAGAAGAAGCACCGGCUAACUCCGUGCCAGCAGCCGCGGUAAUAC